rnacentral:rRNA from 1 species
GACGACGCUGGCGGCGUGGAUUAGGCAUGCAAGUCGGACGGUAGGGCUUUAUCGUAAGAUAGAGUUUGAGAGUGGCGAACGGGUGAGUAACACGUAGGAAUCUACCCUUAAGACGGGGACAACCCAGGGAAACUUGGGCUAAUACCGAAUGAGAGUGCGAGAGAUUGCAUUUAAAAGGAUGGCGAAAGUUGUCGCUUAGGGAUGAGCCUGCGGUCUAUUAGUUAGUUGGUGAGGUAAGAGCUCACCAAGGCGAUGAUAGAUAGGCGGCCUUAACGGGUGGUCGCCCACACUGGGAUUGAGAUACGGCCCAGACUCCUACGGGAGGCAGCAGUCGAGAAUAGUCUACAAUGGCCGGAAGGCUGAUAGUGCGACGCCGCGUGAACGAGGGAGCCCUUCGGGGUGUAAAGUUCUUUUCUAUACGAGCAGUGCUAUAUAUAUGGACUAGUAUAUAUAGAGGGAUAGUAGUAUAGGAAUAAGCAACGGCGUAACUCCGUG